UAAUGAAAUUGAAGAAAUGUAAUACCUGGGAAGAGAAAUAUAAUAUUUUCGCCAAACAGUUCUUAACCAUGAAUUCGUCACUCUCACAUGCAAAUUUAAAGACUCUCUGUACAACAGUUUACAAACACUUAUCCGCUAUUCAGGAGUACGAUCCUUUCACAUUGCCACCUAUUAAUCUCCCAUAAUAUUGCUAAAAUCUACAGACCCGUUGUAUAUACCCAUGAUCGAAGAGGAUUACGGUUUGCAGAAGGUAACUCAAAAUGUGGUGAAAGUACAUUACGUCGAGGGUACUCAUGUUACGAUUU